rnacentral:tRNA from 1 species
GCACCCAUAGCUCAAUGGAUAGUAGCAAUGGUCUUCUAAACCAUUUAUAUGGGUUCGAUUCCCAUUGGGUGUA